rnacentral:rRNA from 1 species
AACGAACGUUGAUGGCGUGCCUCAUACAUGCAAGUCGAGCGGGUAGCAAUACCAGCGGCGGACGGGUUGAAGUAACACGUAAAGAAUCUGCCCUGAGGCGGGGAAUAACUAUCCAACGGAUAGCUAAUACGCAUAAUGAUUGAGGUGGCAUCACUCUUACUCAAAAGGCUUCGGCCACUUCAGGAUGACUUUGCGGCCCAUUAGCUUGUU